UACGGGAGGCAGCAGUGGGGAAUAUUGCACAAUGGGCGCAAGCCUGAUGCAGCCAUGCCGCGUGUAUGAAGAAGGCCUUCGGGUUGUAAAGUACUUUCAGUCGUGAGGAAGGUGUUAAGGUUAAUAACCUUAGCAAUUGACGUUAGCGACAGAAGAAGCACCGGCUAACUCCGUGCCAGCAGCCGCGGUAAUACGGAGGGUGCGAGCGUUAAUCGGAAUUACUGGGCUAAAGGGCACGCAGGCGGUUAAUUAAGUUGGAUGUGAAAUCCCCGGGCUUAACCUGGGAAUGGCAUUCAAGACUGGUUAGCUAGAGUCUUGUAGAGGGGGUAGAAUUCCAUGUGUAGCGGUGAAAUGCGUAGAGAUGUGGAGGAAUACCGGUGGCGAAGGCGGCCCCUGGGACAAAGACUGACGCUCAUGUGCGAAAGCGUGGGGAGCAAACAGGGAUUAGAUACC
rnacentral:rRNA from 1 species